UAAAAGUCGAAUGUUAACCACACCAGAUACUAAAUUAGCCAACGAAUUCCAGAAUCGUCAUUGUUUUGUCGCCGGUCGCGGAGGAAGGAAGUCGCCAGUCGCUGAGAAGGAAGUCUUGAGAGAAUGGAGUCUUCGAUACGGCGAAGGUGUCUGUCGCUGAUUCUACUCAUGGGAUUGUUUAACGUCCAACCAGCAAGAGCCUUCUCUGACAUCACCAAUGAUGGCUGUGCGAAUAGACAUCCCUGUGAUGACUUCACUCAAGAUGCUACUACUCAGAACAUAGUCGCCCGGAGAGUGGGCCUGGUGAUUUUGGGGGGAGGGGUGGCUGGAAUAACGGCUGCCAAGAGCUUGAUCGAGAACAAUUACACCGAUUUCGCAUUACUGGAAGCUGGCGACUACCUUGGUGGGCGGGUGCGCACUCACAGAGAAGGAAACAUCCUGGUGGAGGACGGAGCAGAAUGGAUCCACGGGGGAGAGAAGAACCCUAUCUAUCGCUGGGCAAGAAAAUUAAAUAAAGUGUCGCCUUAUGUAACCGAGGAAGAUUACGACUGGCGAGUCGUAACACAGGACGGGACCCGGAGUGACCCCUCCAAGUACAAAGUGAUCAAACUGAUGGAGACGUGCAUGGCGCAAGAAGUCAUAGCUCAGUACAGGAACAAUUCCUAUGGUCGUUGUUACCUGGACAGAUUCCCCUACGCCUACGGCAAAGGAACCGAAAGCAAGAUCGGAAGAGCCUGGCUUCACCUCCUGGAACAGGUAGUCAAUUACGAAGAGGGCACCGACAGCUGGCUGGAAAGCUCUGCCCUGGAUACAGGUCGGUAUGCUAAUUACGGCUCGAGCUUCCAGUGGAAAGAUGGUUACGACACUUUCGUCAAUUUCCUCAAGGCCAACAUCUCACCCGACCUUGUGAGUUUAUCGACACCCGUGUGUCGAAUUACCUGGGACGAAACCGGCGCUGGGCGAGACCAGGUCCUGGUCUGGACCAGGAAAGGCCUCGACCAGUCGACGACUUACCUGGCAGAUCACGUGAUCGUGACCGCCUCUGUCGGUCACCUGAAGGAACGUCACGCCCACCUCUUCCUACCGGCGCUCCCGUCGCAGUUCCUGAAGGACUUGUCCGGCAUCGAGCUGGGCGUGGUGGACAAGGUCCAAAUGGGCUGGGCAGCGCCCUGGUGGGGCAGGAGGCCGUUAUGGAUCAUGGUACUUUGGACGGAAUUCAAUCUCCCUCGUGAUAUGGAAUGGAUGUACGGCGUCGUUCAGGUAGUGAGUGUGCACCAACAGGAAAGCGUCGUGCAAGUUUUUGUGACAGGCCGUCACGCUACUGCCAUGGAGAACCUGCCGGAGGAGACUGUUAAAAGACACCUCCGCAGUUUGCUUUCAAACGUCACGAAAACCGAAGUGCCCCAGCCGACGUUCUUCAGAAGGACUCAAUGGGGACUAAAUCCUUGGACCCGAGGGGCAUACUCGUCCUUCGUCACCGUGGAGGGGGACCAAGCAGGACUUCGUUCAAGGAUACCAUUCCAAGUCCCACUCAAGAAUUCCAGCGGGAAGAAGGUUGUGUUGUGGGCAGGGGAGCAUACCCACAAUACUCACUACAGCACCGUGGACGGCGCCAUGGAAUCGGGGCUGAGGGCAGCCUCCGAAGUUCUGAGUCAUCUGAGAGCAAAGGGACGACAAUGAGUUUUGACGUGGUGGUAGUUGUAGUAGCAGUAGCAGUAGUAGUAACAGAGGGAUUCGGUUUGGAACGGCUUCCUUACUCGUUCUAUGUAGCAGUGCUAUCUCAGCUUACGACCACAAGAAGCAAAAUAAGACAUUUUCUAUUAGGAGAAUUUUCUUUCAGGUGACCCUUCACAACCACCUCAUCCAGCCGACAUCCUAACUGGAAAUUAUGAAGAAUGGAAAAAUUCAGCCGUUGAGAAAGAGGUCAUUAUCAUAGGAGGAGGCAUAUCUGGACUGACGGCAGCCAAGACUCUGAUAGAAAACAAUAUUACCAACAUUUUGCUUCUCGAGGCUGACAUCAGAAUCGGAGGACGAGUCCGGACUUACAGGAAACCUGUCAGUGGAAGAAGGGGCGGAAUGGAUCCACGGAGGCGAAAGGAACCCACUCUACCGACUUGCCAAGCAACUACAGGCCGUGGUUCCCAGCCUGCCUGAUGAUGUCUGGG